rnacentral:tRNA from 3 species
UGCCCCGUCGUCUAACGGCAAGACUACGGACUCUGACUCCGUCAAUCGAGGUUCGAAUCCUCGCGGGGCAUCCA